rnacentral:rRNA from 1 species
GACGAACGCUGGCGGCGUGCUUAACACAUGCAAGUCGAACGGAAAGGCCCUGCUUUUGUGGGGUGCUCGAGUGGCGAACGGGUGAGUAACACGUGAGUAACCUGCCCUUGACUUUGGGAUAACUUCAGGAAACUGGGGCUAAUACCGGAUAGGAGCUCCUGCUGCAUGGUGGGGGUUGGAAAGUUUCGGCGGUUGGGGAUGGACUCGCGGCUUAUCAGCUUGUUGGUGGGGUAGUGGCUUACAAAGGCUUUGACGGGUAGCCGGCCUGAGAGGGUGACCGGCCACAUUGGGACUGAGAUACGGCCCAGACUCCUACGGGAGGCAGCAGUGGGGAAUAUUGCACAAUGGGCGGAAGCCUGAGGCAGCAACGCCGCGUGCGGGAUGACGGCCUUCGGGUUGUAAACCGCUUUCGCCUGUGACGAAGCGUGAGUGACGGUAAUGGGUAAAGAAGCACCGGCUAACUACGUG